CGUUGCUUUAUGCAGCCUAAUAAUGCUUCAGUAGUCUGAGAGAAGCGCUUUCGAGUGACUACGUAAUUAAUGUUUCAAUAGUCUGAGAGGAACGCCUUCGGGUGAUUAUAUUAUCUGCCAUACCUGAAAAGGCAGACAGCAAACACGCUGGGUAAUCCU
rnacentral:sRNA from 1 species